AAAGUCGUAACAAGGUAACCGUAGGUGAACCUGCGGUUGGAUCAUUAAUACAUUUGUUAAUAUUCCGGGGACAUGCGCGUCUCGGCGUAGGAACGCGCUUCUGCGUUUAGGACAUGUUUAUGUAUGCAAGUACGUAAAAUGUUCCGCCGAGGCACGGAUGGCUCAUGGAAUGCCUGAAAAGGAAACAUCUUGUGAACUGUUCUGUUUCUGGCGGGGGAGUGGAGUUGCCUUCGGGCUCUCCGUUCGUCAGCUUGGGUUCUCCCAGGCCGUGGACAUCCCGCCAAACACUUUAUUCAACUUAUGUCUUCUUCAAUAAUUUGUCUGACAAUUUUUAUGUAUGUAAAUACAAACAACUUUUGGCAACGGAUCUCUUGGCUCUC
rnacentral:misc_RNA from 1 species